UCUUCGGCAAUGGGCGCAAGCCUGACCGAGCGACGCCGCGUGCGGGAUGAAGGCCUUCGGGUUGUAAACCGCUGUCGUAGAGGAGGAAAUGCAGGGGGGUUCUCCCUUCUGUUUGACCUAUUCUAGGAGGAAGUACGGGCUAAGUUCGUGCCAGCAGCCGCGGUAAGACGAACCGUACAAACGUUACUCGGAAUUACUGGGCUUAAAGGGUGCGUAGGCUGCGCGGAAAGUUGGGUGUGAAAGCCCUCGGCUCAACCGAGGAAUUGCACUCAAAACUACCGUGCUUGAGGGAGACAGAGGUAAGCGGAACUCAAGGUGGAGCGGUGAAAUGCGUUGAUAUCUUGAGGAACACCGGUGGCGAAGGCGGCCUACUGGGUCUUUUCUGACGCUGAGGCACGAAAGCUAAGGUAGCAAACGGGAUUAGAUACCCCGGUAGUCUUAGCUGUAAACGAUGAGCACUUGAUUGGAGGGUCCUCCAUAGCCUUCCAGUCGUAGCGAAAGUGUUAAGUGCUCCGCCUGGGGA
rnacentral:rRNA from 1 species